UCUCCGUAGGUGAACCUGCGGAGGGAUCAUUACAGAGUUCAUGCCCUACCGGGUAGAUCUCCCACCCUAUGUUAUUAUUACUUUGUUGCUUUGGCGGGCCGUUAGGCUCCGGCCCGACUACCGGCCCCGGCUGGUAAGCGCCCGCCAGAGGACCCAAAACCCUGAAUAUUAGUGUCGUCUGAGUACUACAUAAUAGUUAAAACUUUCAACAACGGAUCUCUUGGUUCUC
rnacentral:misc_RNA from 1 species